rnacentral:rRNA from 1 species
ACCGUGGUAAUUCUAGAGCUAAUACAUGAGCAAUAUCUCAACUAUUUUGGAAGAGAUGCAUUUAUUAGAUAAAAAACCAAUACAUACUUUUUCAAGUAUGAAAGUUGGUGAUUUACAAUAACUUAGCAAAUCGCAUAGUGAAAACAGGCGAUAAAUCAUUCAAGUUUCUGACCUAUCAGCUUUCGACGGUAUGGUAUUGGCUUACCGUGGCAGUGACGGUUAACGGGGGAUUAGGGUUCGAUUCCGGAGAGGGAGCCUGAGAAACGGCUACCACAUCUAAGGAAGGCAGCAGGCGCGCAAAUUACCCAAUUCUAACAGCAUAAGAGAGGUAGUGACAAGAAAUAACAAUACAAGGCAGUUAAAAUGCUUUGUAAUUGGAAUGAUAGAAAUUUAAACACUUUUUAAAGUAUCAAUUGGAGGGCAAGUCUGGUGCCAGCAGCCGCGGUAAUUCCAGCUCCAAUAGCGUAUAUUAAAAUUGUUGCAGUUAAAAAGCUCGUAGUUGAAUUUCUGUUAAAAAUAACCGGUCUGCUUUUAUUAAAAGUGGUAUCUUGGUGUGUUUUUAGCAAUAAUGUCCUUUGAAAUGUUUUUUACUUUAUUGUAAUAAAUAAUAUUCAGGAUUUUUACUUUGAGAAAAUUAGAGUGUUUCUAGCAGGCUAACGCUUUGAAUACUGCAGCAUGGAAUAAUAAAAUAGGAUUUUAGUUCUACAUUAUUGGUUUUAAGAACUAAAUUAAUGAUUGAUAGGGACAGUUGGGGGCAUUUGUAUUUAACUGUCAGAGGUGAAAUUCUUAGAUUUGUUAAAGACAAACUACUGCGAAAGCAUUUGCCAAAGAUGUUUUCAUUAAUCAAGAACGAAAGUUAGGGGAUCGAAGACGAUCAGAUAU